rnacentral:lncRNA from 1 species
GUAAUGCAAUUAUAUUCCAUGAGAUGACAUAAUCCAAUUAAAAAAUAAAACAUACUUACAAACCACCACCCUUGUACAAAUUCUAUAUGAAACUCUAUCACACUACUAUAAUAAAAUAAAAUUAUUAAAAAGUGAAAUAUCAAUGUCCAAAUUUUAUGAAAAUAAAGGUCCAUCCAUGCGGGGAAUGAGAGCCACUACCUGUCUCCUUGAGUGAUCUUAAUAUAUAGAUACACUCACACAUAUGUAUAUGUUUGUAACUUUUCAUUUCACGAAGGUGAAGUGAAGGAGUAUAUAGCAAAAUAGUUUUGCAAGUACUCAAAUGUCUCUUGGGUACCAUCAAAGGGCGCCCAUAUAUACUUUAUUGGAGUGACAGCUAUUAUAAUAGACAUAUAUCAGAUAUAAUAAUUAGAUAUGUCGCAAUAAAUAGUAGUUCGAAGGUCAUAAAUGGAUAGAUACAAAAUUCAUUGAACAGAAUGAUUACCACUUUGAGCCAGGAACUUUUGACAAGAAAUUGGAUUUUUUUGUUUUUUUGUUUUGUAUUGAUUUUGAUAAUUGAAUAAAUAUACAAAUAUAUUGUGAAGAGCCGAAGAUAUAUUAUAAUUCUUUCAAGAACAAGGAGGGGGGGGGGGAGAGGGUUUACAUAAAUUCCCUCAUCCACAAUUCACAAGUUUCAUACCGAUUUCAUUUUUAGGAGGAGUUCCGGGAAGUUUGAGUUGGAUCUGACAGGUGGCAUCUUUUUUUUUUCGCUCCAAGCCUUUCAGGAAAAGCAAAAAGUCUAAUAAAAGUUCUGUCCACUUCAGAACGACUCAAAAGGUUUGAUUUGGUGACGUAAUGUACUUUCAAAGUGACGUAAAUUCCACUUCAGCCUCAGGUUGUUCAAACCUACACACAUUCUCAAAAGCUUCCAAGUGGGUGCAUCCAGUUGCUGGGUAUUCUUAAAUGUGCAAAAGGAUGCACAUGUCAGCAUAUAGUAUUCUAUUGUUGCUUUAAAUCUUUAUAUAUAAUUCCCAUCUUCACAUGCUUGGAGGAUACAUUUUGCAAAUUACAGAUUGAUUUUAAAUUGAUCACUACCAAAAAUUCAAAAUCUUGACUUCUGUGGACAACUUCAACAAUUUAGGCGAGUGUGUGAGAAAAUAAACAACAAUAGAUAUGAGACAUCAGAAAAAUGCAUGUGCAUGUUUCUGUGUACGCACACACGAACAUAUAUAUAUAUAUAUAUAUAUAUAUACAUAGAAUCAUGUUGAAAACAAUUACUUCUUGUUUUCAAAGACUUUCGUGGGAUCCCUUUGUGAAGGCCAAGAAUCAAAGUUUUUGUUUUUAUUUUUAUUUUUUUCAAUACCAUUUUGCAUUUAAAAGUUUUUCACA